ACAAACUUACUGGGAGUUUUCAGAGCAGGCAAAAAAGUUCAAGUAUAAGAAAAAAAAACACACCAGUAAGAAAUGUGAACCAUUUUCUCGGAAGUUACAAAACCCAGACUGAACUGAGUUUGUAGGUCACUUUCUUCAGAUACACCAAAGAAGCUGAAGAAGACAGGUCAAAGUUAAUGGGUUCCUAACCAGCUCAAGACUCUGAAUUCAUCUGAAGGAAACACUUUCCACCAGUUCCAGCACAUCGCAUACUGUGGUCUUUCCAUGCAAAAUGGUGAGAAGAAAGAUAAAUGUAUGUCAAUAAGCAUGGACACUAUUUUGCAAGCAUUUGCUUAAAAAAUGGAGACUAAAAAGGGAUACUUUGAUGGCACAUAUGUAUACCUGAUACUAUCCUUUAACAUAAAAAAAGGAAAAAAAAAACCUUAAAAUCAUCCAUGGAGAUUAUUCCAUAAAUACGAUUUAGAUUUCGUUAUGAAAACAUCACAGAGGGACAUUAACAUUACCUUGGAAUAGCAAAAAUUUAAGAGCACUGUUCUUAGGUGACCUGUAGACUUCCAUACAAGUUGCUGGAAAUCUAUAAACCACUCUUCUAUUUUUAGACAACUUCUGCCCACAUUGGACCAUGUAAACAUUAAAUUUGCCUUGAAUUCUGACCCCCCCCCACCAGAAACAGAGCCUGUAUUCAGAAGUUCCCCUUCCCUGUGGAUGAGUGCAGGCGCCUACCAUAGAGAGAUUCUGUGGCCAGUUCCCAGAUGAUGCUGGGCUCUCCUCCAGGCCAGUGCUUCGGUGUAUGCUGCCAGCCAGUGGAUGUGAACGAUCCCAAACUCACUUUCCUGUGGCACCUCAUCCAACAUCAGACCUCUCCCUUACAGCUAAAUCUGCAUCUCUACACUGUGCCUCUCACCUCCCAAUGCUGAAUCCACUUCUGAUUCAAGUUCAUGCCCUGAUAUGAAUGUCCAUGAAAAGUCCACAUUCACCCUGUACUGAGACAUGUUUGGGCUCAUCCUGUCUUUCACAGAUGUUCUGCUGAGAUCCACAGUGUUUUGUAGUAUGUUCAAAUCAUACUAGGAACAUUUUUAAAUUUGUAUUUUAAAUCAUCGAUUUUAUUUUUUUAGAGUCAAUGCUUCCCAGCUCCUGACAAUGUCUGCUAUUAAUAUUUAUCUUACCUUAAUCUAUGAUCCGUGAAUCAAUUUAUAAACUAAUCUGAGUCAUCAUUAUAAGUGAAAACUACAGUAGAUAGGAGCUCACUCUGUGUUGCACAGUUCAGUUUGAACAAACAUGCAGUAUCACUUAUGCACCAUUACAGUGUCCUACAGUAUAAUUUCACUGUCCUAAAGUUGCUACAUGUUCCAUCUGUGAUACUCUCUACUCCUCUUGAAAUCCCAAAAAUCACUUUUUACUCUCUUUACCAUUAUGCCUAUUCUGAAGUAUUAUAACAUUGAAAUCAUACAAUAUUCAGACUAGACCAUAAGAUUAUAGAAUCAUACUAGCCCACUUUUAAAUUAGCCUGCAACAUUGUAGAAUCAGAUGAAAGGGGAUUUGCUUAAAGAGUUUUACAUUCUGUACCUGAAAAACUAAUUUGCAUUGCAUGCCUGGGAAUUGCAUGAAAAAUUACAGUUCAGAGUAGUUUUACUAUCAAUUUUCUGCAAGUUAACUUCUGCCUCUUAGAUGAAAGGAAAUGAGUCAGCUUCUUAGUUUUUUAGGUUUCUCUUCUGCAACAUAGAAGGAAUAGCAGUGCCUAUUCUGUAGCAUAUUGUGAGAUGUAAAUUAGCAAAUGACUAAGAUUUAUAAGUAUUAUGUAAAGUAAUAAGUAUCUGUAUGGAAAGUAGGAAACGCUACGCAAGUUACCUAUUAACCAUAAUAUAGAGUCACUAACUUCUUAAUUGUUUAAUAAUAUAUUUAUAUUAAUAGUGUCAUUUGCAGUAGUAUUAUUUGAUUAUUAAGCAGUUUUGAGAGUACAGAAAAAAAAACUAGAUUUCCAGAGAAAAUAUUAACAAGGAAUCAAAAAUAAGUAUCUUACAAGGACUAGGGGAGAUAAUUUUGCAAUAGUAAGAGGCUACAAGUUAUUCUAUCUGACUAGAACACAACUUUCAAAAUAUGCAGAAUAUUAGGUGUCCAUAUAAGGAGAGAGAAGAACCUCAUUGUUAGUACUCUGGAAAAGCAGAAGUAGUAUAAUAAAGAUAAGGAAUAAUUUCCUAUUUUCAUAAAUAUUUAUGAAAUUAUUUUUACAUCCGAGACCUUUUGCCUAUGGUGAAAAGAGCCUAGCAUUGACGUACAGAGGCAGGGCUCUAUGUAUUCCUUCCCUCACUGAAUCCAAACUCCUGUUUCUCUCAUUUUCCAGCAGAGAAAAGCAGGAUAAAGCAGUUUUGUAGAUGGCCAGAGCUAGAAUGCGGUGGACACAGUUCCUAACCAAUCCUGUAAGGCUUCUUUCUCUCCAUGCUUCCUGAAGUUUACGUGCUCCAUUUGUUUUAAUCCUAAGAAAAGGCACAUCUUCCUUCUGUUCCACAUAAUCAGGCUCUGUUUAUAUAUCGCAGAAGGUUCAAUGUAGAACUGGUGCGUGAGGGAGACAGUGAAUGAAGGAAUGGUUAAUACUAGUCUCCACGUCGGGUACUCACUUGUAUCUAUCAUCAAAUGCUGAAGUAGCCCUUUGUUUCCACAUCAGGUUCUCCUGGGGUUUGCUUUAUGCAGGCUUUGUCUUCAUUCUGGCCCUUUUCUUGGCAUUUAUUACAAUAUCAGUCCAAUUUAUCAUCUCAACUGGCUUCAUGAUGGUCUUCAGCCUCUUUUUCUUCUAUGGGCUCUCUUGGAUGAGUUGAGGAAUAAAAUUUCUCUCUGUCCCUCUUUCCCUCGAAGAAACAAGCUUGAUUUUCUCACAUGUUCCUUUUCAGCUGGCAUGAGCUAUCUGUGGAUGGGCACUAUUUGACUUGGAGUGCUUCAUGGUGCCAAUGUGUAGUGUAAAGCAUACUUUUAUAUAUUAAAUACUUUGUUUCACUAAUAAUUAUCAGAAUAAUAUAAACCAACUGAAUCUUCUCUCAUUGUAGAUCAUUUUAGCUUUCCUGAUGAGUGUGUUGUUAAAGAAGCCUUUCCUCACCUGCUUGGUUGUUUUCUUUUCACUGUUGUUGGGGGACCUGGGGUACAUGGCAUUGUACAGAUACCUUCUUGUGCCUUUGGAGUGGAUUUUAAGUUUAUUUAGCCCUUUUGCCUUUACACUCGGAAUGGGUCAGGUGAGCAUUUAUCUCUACUAGUGACAUUUCCCAAACAUCAUUACUCUCAGAAAUUUAAUAGUCUGGGGCCAGGGAUAUAGAUCAGAGGCACAGCACCUGCCUGGCAAGCAUAAGGUCCUGAGUUCAGUUCCCAGUACAAAAGAAAGAAACAAACAAACAAACAAACAAACUUAACAGUGUGUAGUCAAUGUCCCAUAUUUACAUUUAGAAUCCUUUUGCCUCUACUGAACAAAAUGCUUGUGGGGUUACAAAGAUGAGUUGGAAAAGCCACGAGACAUUUUCUUCUAGAAAAUAUGUUCUUUUGUAAGUAACAAGAGAAAAAUGAAGAGGAGACUCACAAUCAGUAUCAAUGUGUUUCAUCUGCUCCCAAAAUGGAAUUUGUAUUGUAAAUUGAAUUUUAACUUAUUCCAUACUCAUUUCACUUAAUGUUACAAAACUGUUACAUGAUGCAAUUCUCAAAACUAAAACACAAAAGAAAUUAAAAAUAAUGUAUCUUAGUCAA